rnacentral:rRNA from 1 species
CCUACGGGUGGCAGCAGUCGAGAAUCAUUCACAAUGGGGGAAACCCUGAUGGUGCGACGCCGCGUGGGGGAAUGAAGGUCUUCGGAUUGUAAACCCCUGUCAUGUGGGAGCAAAUUAAAAAGAUAGUACCACAAGAGGAAGAGACGGCUAACUCUGUGCCAGCAGCCGCGGUAAUACAGAGGUCUCAAGCGUUGUUCGGAAUCACUGGGCGUAAAGCGUGCGUAGGCUGUUUCGUAAGUCGUGUGUGAAAGGCGCGGGCUGAACCCGCGGACGGCACAUGUUACUGCGAGACUAGAGUAAUGAGGGGGGAACCGGAAUGCUGGGUGUAGCAGUGAAAGGGGU